GAGUUUGAUCGUGGCUCAGGAUGAACGCUGGCGGCGUGCCUAACACAUGCAAGUCGAGCGAGAAGCUUCUGAUGGAUUCUUCGGAAGAAAGAGGAAGUGGAAAGCGGCGGACGGGUGAGUAACGCGUAGGCAACCUGCCCCUUGCAGAGGGAUAGCCACUGGAAACGGUGAUUAAAACCUCAUAACACUUUGCAUUCACAUGGAAGUAAAGCCAAAGAUUUAUCGGCAAGGGAUGGGCCUGCGUCUGAUUAGCUGGUUGGUGGGGUAACGGCUCACCAAGGCGACGAUCAGUAGCCGACCUGAGAGGGUGAACGGCCACAUUGGAACUGAGACACGGUCCAAACUCCUACGGGAGGCAGCAGUGGGGAAUAUUGCACAAUGGGCGAAAGCCUGAUGCAGCAACGCCGCGUGAAGGAAGAAGGUCUUCGGAUCGUAAACUUCUGUCCUAGGGGAAGAAGAACUGACGGUACCCUUGGAGGAAGCCCCGGCUAACUACGUGCCAGCCGCCGCAGUAAG
rnacentral:rRNA from 1 species